rnacentral:rRNA from 1 species
UACGUAGGGGGCAAGCGUUGUCCGGAAUCAUUGGGCGUAAAGAGCGUGUAGGCGGCCUGAUAAGUCGGUUGUGAAAGUCAAGGGCUCAACCCUUGAAUGCCGGCCGAUACUGUCAGGCUAGAGUCCGGAAGAGGCGAGUGGAAUUCCUGGUGUAGCGGUGAAAUGCGCAGAUAUCAGGAGGAACGCCGAUGGCGAAGGCAGCUCGCUGGGACGGUACUGACGCUGAGACGCGAAAGCGUGGGGAGCGAACAGG